UCUGUAGCCGGCCAAGUAAGUCCCUUGGGAAAUCUGGCAGCUCAACUGUCAGGCUGCUAGGGGAUACUGUUUGGCUUGGGACCGGGAGAGGUGAGAGGUACCUUGGGGGUAGGGGUGAAAUCUUGUGAUCCUCGAGGGACCACCAGUGGCGAAGGCGUCUCACCAGAACGGGUCCGACGGUAAGGGACGAAAGCUAGGGGCACGAACAGGAUUAGAUACCCUGGUAGUCC
rnacentral:rRNA from 1 species